rfam:Oryza sativa Japonica Group DNA, chromosome 7, cultivar: Nipponbare, complete sequence.
AAAAAAGACAAACCUAAGUUUUUGUGUCCAAUUUUGAUUGUCCGUCUUAUAUGAAAUUUUUUUGUAAUUCGUAUUUUUAUUGUUGUUAGAUGAUAAAACAUGAUUAAUAUUUUAUGCGUGACUUGUCUUUUUAAUUUUUUUCAUAAUUUUUUUAAAUAAGACCCAGGGUUUGUCAAACGUUGGGCACAAAAACCAAGGUUUGUCUUUUUU